rnacentral:misc_RNA from 1 species
GAUGAAGAACGCAGCGAAAUGCGAUAAGUAAUGUGAAUUGCAGAAUUCAGUGAAUCAUCGAAUCUUUGAACGCACAUUGCGCCCCCUGGUAUUCCGGGGGGCAUGCCUGUCCGAGCGUCAUUACAACCCUCAAGCUCAGCUUGGUGUUGGGCCCCGCCGCCCCGGCGGGCCCUAAAGUCAGUGGCGGUGCCGUCCGGCUCCGAGCGUAGUAAUUCUUCUCGCUCUGGAGGUCCGGUCGUGUGCUCGCCAGCAACCCCCAAUUUUUUUCAGGUUGACCUCGGAUCAGGUAGGGAUACACGCUGAACUUAAGCAUAUCAAUAAGCGGAGGA